GAUGAACGCUGACAGAAUGCUUAACACAUGCAAGUCAACUGUGGCGGACGGGUGAGUAACGCGUAAAGAACUUGCCUCACAGUUAGGGACAACAUUUGGAAACGAAUGCUAAUACCUGAUACUUUGAGAGAGCUUUGCGUCCCAUUAGCUAGUUGGAGAGGUAACGGCUCACCAAGGCGAUGAUGGGUAGCCGGCCUGAGAGGGUGAUCGGCCCAAAGGGGACUGAUACACAGCCCUUACUCCUACGGGAGGCGGCAGUGGGGAAUAUUGGACAAUGGACCAAAGUCUGAUCCAGCAAUUCUGUGUUCACGAUGAAGUUUUCGUAAUGUAAAGUGCUUUCAGUUUGGAAGCGGUACCCUCAGGGGAAGUGACGGCUAAAUACGUGCCAGCAGCCGCGGUAAUAC
rnacentral:rRNA from 1 species